rnacentral:rRNA from 1 species
AUACGGAGGGUGCAAGCGUUGUUCGGAAUUACUGGGCGUAAAGCGCGUGUAGGCGGUUUGGUAAGUCAGAUGUGAAAGCCCUGGGCUCAACCCGGGAAGUGCAUUUGAAACUGCCUUUCUUGAGUAUGGGAGAGGAGAGUGGAAUUCCCAGUGUAGAGGUGAAAUUCGUAGAUAUUGGGAGGAACACCCGUGGCGAAGGCGACUCUCUGGACCAAUACUGACGCUGAGACGCGAAAGCGUGGGGAGCAAACAGGAUUAGAAACCCGAGUAGUCC